GACGUAGGGGGGCCAGCGUUGUUCGGAAUUACUGGGUGUAAAGGGUUCGUAGGCGGUGUGGCAAGUCGGGAGUGAAAUCUCUGGGCUCAACUCAGAGACUGCUUCCGAAACUGCUGUGCUGGAGUGUGGGAGAGGCGCGUGGAAUUGCAGGUGUAGCGGUGAAAUGCGCAGAUAUCAGGAGGAACACCAAUGGCGAAGGCAGCUCGCUGGAACGGUACUGACGCUGAGGCGCGAAAGCGUGGGGAGCAAACAGG
rnacentral:rRNA from 1 species